GAUGAACGCUGGCGGCGGGCUUAACACAUGCAAGUCGAACGGAAGCACAGUAAGAGUUUGCUCUGACGGGUGGCGAGUGGCGGACGGGUGAGGAAUACAUCGGAAUCUAGUUUUUCGUGGGGGUUAACGAAGGGGAACUUACGAUAAUACCGCAUAUGAUCCACCAUUGAAAGCAGGGGACCUUUGGAGCUGGCGGGAAUGAACGAGCCGAUGUCGGAUUAGCUAGUUGGGGGGGUAAAGGCCCAGCAGGGAGGGGAUACGUAGCCGGUGUGAGAGGCUGGUCAGCCACACGGGAACUGAGGCAGGGUCCAGACUCCUGCGGUAGGCAGCAGUGGGGAAUAGUAGACAAUGGGGGCAAGCCUGAUCCAGCCAUACCGCGUGGGGGAAGAAGGCGUUCCGCUUGUAAAGCCCUUUUGUUGGUAGAGAAAAGCAGCAGGUUAAGACCCCGCGGUUCUGACGGUACCCGAAGAAUAAGCACCGGCUAACUUCGUG
rnacentral:rRNA from 1 species